ACACGGUGGCAGAGAUUGUCUCGUGUCGUCCACCGGAGGCGGUGCCGUACUCCUCGUGAGCACGGACCAGUGGCGGUUGGACCGGAGCCACAAGGCGGCAGCGGAAGGUGAGUCGACGUGGGCCAGUCUUACGUCGACAGCUUAUAGCCCUGUCGUACGGUGCUCUGGCCGGACCGAGGAAGCAGGGCAGCCCUUGCCCGUGGCGGUGCACGCCGAAUGGCGGGGACUCCCGACAGGAGUGAACCGUGCGGUGUGGACUGCUUGCAGUGCAUGCCGUGGCGGUGAUCUCAUGCCGGAGAGUGCCACCUGUGCACCAGUGCUGCUGGUAUUCAGAC
rnacentral:misc_RNA from 1 species